UACGUAGGGUGCGAGCGUUAAUCGGAAUUACUGGGCGUAAAGCGUGCGCAGGCGGUGAUGUAAGACAGAUGUGAAAUCCCCGGGCUCAACCUGGGAACUGCAUUUGUGACUGCACGGCUGGAGUGCGGCAGAGGGGGAUGGAAUUCCGCGUGUAGCAGUGAAAUGCGUAGAUAUGCGGGAGGAACACCGAUGGCGAAGGCAAUCCCCUGGGCCUGCACUGACGCUCAUGCACGAAAGCGUGGGGAGCAAACAGG
rnacentral:rRNA from 1 species